CAGUAGCCGCGGUAAUACGUAGGUGGCAAGCGUUGUCCGGAAUUAUUGGGCGUAAAGAGCUCGCAGGCGGUUUCUUAAGUCUGAUGUGAAAGCCCCCGGCUCAACCGGGGAGGGUCAUUGGAAACUGGGAGACUUGAGUGCAGAAGAGGAGAGUGGAAUUCCACGUGUAGCGGUGAAAUGCGUAGAGAUGUGGAGGAACACCAGUGGCGAAGGCGACUCUCUGGUCUGUAACUGACGCUGAGGAGCGAAAGCGUGGGGAGCGAACAGGAUUAGAUACCCGCGUAGUCCCUGUCUCUUAUAC
rnacentral:rRNA from 1 species